rnacentral:rRNA from 1 species
UACGUAGGGCGCAAGCGUUGUCCGGAAUUAUUGGGCGUAAAGAGCUCGUAGGCGGUCUGUCGCGUCUGCCGUGAAAACCCGAGGCUUAACCUCGUGGCUUGCGGUGGAUACGGGCAGACUAGAGGUAGGUAGGGGAGAAUGGAAUUCCCGGUGUAGCGGUGAAAUGCGCAGAUAUCGGGAGGAACACCGGUGGCGAAGGCGGUUCUCUGGGCCGAUACUGACGCUGAGGAGCGAAAGCGUGGGGAGCGAACAGG